GAGAUAUCCCUCACAUAAGUGAGUAAGAUCCCUUGAAGAGUACAAGGUAGAUAGGGCAGAGGUGGAAGCAUGGUAACGUGUGGAGCUGACUGUUACUAAUCGAUCGAGGGCUUGACCAAAA
rnacentral:rRNA from 1 species